CUAUCAGCUUGAUGGCGGGGUAACGGCCCACCAUGGCUUCGACGGGUAGCCGGCCUGAGAGGGCGACCGGCCACAUUGGGACUGAGAUACGGCCCAGACUCCUACGGGAGGCAGCAGUGGGGAAUAUUGCACAAUGGGCGCAAGCCUGAUGCAGCGACGCCGCGUGAGGGAUGGAGGCCUUCGGGUUGUAAACCUCUUUUGUUAGGGAGCAAGGCACUUUGUGUUGAGUGUACCUUUCGAAUAAGCACCGGCUAACUACGUGCCAGCAGCCGCGGUAAUACGUAGGGUGCAAGCGUUAUCCGGAAUUAUUGGGCGUAAAGGGCUCGUAGGCGGUUCGUCGCGUCCGGUGUGAAAGUCCAUCGCUUAACGGUGGAUCCGCGCCGGGUACGGGCGGGCUUGAGUGCGGUAGGGGAGACUGGAAUUCCCGGUGUAACGGUGGAAUGUGUAGAUAUCGGGAAGAACACCAAUGGCGAAGGCAGGUCUCUGGGCCGUUACUGACGCUGAGGAGCGAAAGCGUGGGGAGCGAACAGGAUUAGAUACCCUGGUAGUCCACGCCGUAAACGGUGGAUGCUGGAUGUGGGGCCCGUUCCACGGGUUCCGUGUCGGAGCUAACGCGUUAAGCAUCCCGCCUGGGGAGUACGGCCGCAAGGCUAAAACUCAAAGAAAUUGACGGGGGCCCGCACAAGCGGCGGAGCAUGCGGAUUAAUUCGAUGCAACGCGAAGAACCUUACCUGGGCUUGACAUGUUCCCGACGAUCCCAGAGAUGGGGUUUCCCUUCGGGGCGGGUUCACAGGUGGUGCAUGGUCGUCGUCAGCUCGUGUCGUGAGAUGUUGGGUUAAGUCCCGCAACGAGCGCAACCCUCGCCCCGUGUUGCCAGCGGAUUAUGCCGGGAACUCACGGGGGACCGCCGGGGUUAACUCGGAGGAAGGUGGGGAUGACGUCAGAUCAUCAUGCCCCUUACGUCCAGGGCUUCACGCAUGCUACAAUGGCCGGUACAACGGGAUGCGACANNGCGANCUGGAGCGGAUCCCUGAAAACCGGUCUCAGUUCGGAUCGCAGUCUGCAACUCGACUGCGUGAAGGCGGAGUCGCUAGUAAUCGCGAAUCAGCAACGUCGCGGUGAAUGCGUUCCCGGGCCUUGUACACACCGCCCGUCAAGUCAUGAAAGUGGGCAGCACCCGAAGCCGGUGGCCUAACC
rnacentral:rRNA from 1 species